AACGAACGCUGGCGGCAUGCCUAACACAUGCAAGUCGAACGAGGCCUUCGGGUCUAGUGGCGCACGGGUGCGUAACGCGUGGGAAUCUGCCCUUGGGUUCGGAAUAACAGUUGGAAACGACUGCUAAUACCGGAUGAUGACGUAAGUCCAAAGAUUUAUCGCCCAAGGAUGAGCCCGCGUAGGAUUAGCUAGUUGGUGAGGUAAAGGCUCACCAAGGCGACGAUCCUUAGCUGGUCUGAGAGGAUGAUCAGCCACACUGGGACUGAGACACGGCCCAGACUCCGCCGGGAAGCAGCAGUGGGGAAUAUUGGAGAAUGGGCGAGAGUCUGAUCCAUCAAUGCCGCGUGAGUAAUGAAAGCCUGAGGGUUGUAAAGCUCCUGUACCCGGGAUGAUAAUGACAGGACCUAGAGAAUCAGCUCCGGCCAACUCUGUG
rnacentral:rRNA from 1 species